UGUCGUCAGCUCGUGUUGUGAAAUGUUGGGUUAAGUCCCGCAACGAGCGCAACCCUUAUCCUUUGUUGCCAGCGGUCCGGCCGGGAACUCAAAGGAGACUGCCAGUGAUAAACUGGAGGAAGGUGGGGAUGACGUCAAGUCAUCAUGGCCCUUACGACCAGGGCUACACACGUGCUACAAUGGCGCAUACAAAGAGAAGCGACCUCGCGAGAGCAAGCGGACCUCAUAAAGUGCGUCGUAGUCCGGAUUGGAGUCUGCAACUCGACUCCAUGAAGUCGGAAUCGCUAGUAAUCGUGGAUCAGAAUGCCACGGUGAAUACGUUCCCGGGCCUUGUACACACCGCCCGUCACACCAUGGGAGUGAGUU
rnacentral:rRNA from 1 species